CCCUGAUUAUGGGCAAGGGGAGAGGAGCAGAAAGUUGAAGCCAUCACCAAUAACCAAUGAUUUAAUUAGUCAUGCCUAUGUAAUGAAGCCUCCAUAAAAACCCAAAAGGACGAGGCUGCAGAAUGAGAAAGACAUAGUUCAUGAGGAGGGACAAGAGGAGGAUACUUUCAAGAGAGGUCAGAAAAUACCAGCACUCAAGAGAGUCUUGAUGUAAGAAUCAUAUCAGGAAAACAUUCCCUACAUUUGAGAAUGGUGCCCCAGGGAAUGGCUCCUCUGGGUUUGGCCCCCAAAGCCCCAUGUGCUAUGGCAAAAGCAGAGAAAUCGUUUUCAGACUUCAGAAGGAGUUCCUGUGUCUCCUUCUUCCACAAAGCUCACAGCCUGAUCCAGCUGAGAUUCAUGCAAAAGAAACCCAAGAUUUAAAUAAAACAUGUUUUAUUUAAAACGUGUUUGCUUUGUGAGGAUACAAGUCUUGGUUCAGACAUG